AUUGAACGCUGGCGGCAGGCUUAACACAUGCAAGUCGAGCGGAGAUGAGGUGCUUGCACCUUAUCUUAGCGGCGGACGGGUGAGUAAUGCUUAGGAAUCUGCCUAUUAGUGGGGGACAACAUUCCGAAAGGAAUGCUAAUACCGCAUACGCCCUACGGGGGAAAGCAGGGGAUCUUCGGACCUUGCGCUAAUAGAUGAGCCUAAGUCGGAUUAGCUAGUUGGUGGGGUAAAGGCCUACCAAGGCGACGAUCUGUAGCGGGUCUGAGGGGAUGAUCCGCCACACUGGGACUGAGACACGGCCCAGACUCCUACGGGAGGCAGCAGGGGGGAAUAUUGGGCAAUGGGCGGAAGCCUGAUCCAGCCAUGCCGCGUGUGUGAAGAAGGCCUUUUGGUUGUAAAGCACUUUAAGCGAGGAGGAGGCUACCUGGAUUAAUACUCUAGGAUAGUGGACGUUACUCGCAGAAUAAGCACCGGCUAACUCUGUGCCAGCCGCCGCAGUAAGAC
rnacentral:rRNA from 1 species